CAAUCUUAAAUCUUAAAUUGAAUCUAUAUGAAGAAAGAACUUUCUCAAUUUGAAAGAAACAAAACCUGAAUUUUUUUCUUUUAAGUUAAACUUUCAUGGUAAAAUCUUUAACUUUCAAAAUUCAAAUUCCCCCACUUUUCAUCGCCACUCUCUCAUAGGUUCCACUCUUUUUCCUUUUUACUUUUUUUUUUGUGACAAAUUCUUCCUUCUCUUCUCUGUUUUUCCAUCAUCCACAUUACAAUUUAAGUUAUGGUUCAGUAAAAUAAUCGAAUCAAUAAAAGGGAAGAAGUGGAAUUGAAGGAAACCAAAAAAAUUCGAAGUAGAACCAUUGAGGAAAACUAAAUUCUCUCUCUUCUAUCUAUUUCUUUCCAAGGAAGGACAAUAAAACCAUGACCAUUGGAAGACGACGGAUGUUGCUGAAACAAAAAAAAACAUAACACAUUGAAUGUGGAUGGGAUUUGCGCUGUGAUGUUGGAGUAGGAAGAAAUAAAAUCAGUGUAUAUUGAGAAAUGUUGGGAUGGACCAUACUAAGGAGCAUUGAUUUGGCUCAAAGAUAUAACUAUUACUAAUUUGCUAAGAUGCACGGAGCAGCGUAACUAUAGAUUGAUGGGGGCGAAUCGAACCUAAAGCUUAGUGUGAUGCACACGCUUUGGAGUUUAUUUGUGCAACUUUCAUCAUCAUCAAGUUCAUCCUCUUCUUGUUCAAGAUUUGCAGCAUACCCCCAACAAAAGAUCCAACAAUCUUUAGGUUCAAUUUUCGAUUAUCAAAUUUAUUUAUGACUGCAACUUUUAAAGGAGAUGAACUUUCUUGACCAUGGUGAAAGGUACACAUUUAAUUUAUAUGAAUAUAUAUGAUAUAUUUGAAGUUCUAAAUUCAUAUGUGGUGCUCUAAAAUAAUUAUAUUUAUUUAUGUUAAAUUUAACACGUGGUUAGAUUUGAUAUGCAUGAUUUAGAAUAUAUUCAAGUAUGUGAAUUUAAUAUGGUUUAUGCAUGAAUUUUGCUUGUUUGGAUUUUGAAGAUUAAUUAAAGUCUUAAAAAUAAUCAUAUGAAAAUUUUUGGUUGAACACAUAAGUUAUUUAGUAUUAAUACAUUUAUAUAUUACAUUCCUGUUUGAAAUAGAUAUAUAAUAACCUUUUAUUUUUCGGAUGCAUAUAUAAUAAUAUGGAGAUAUGAUUUGGAAAAUUAAUAGUAUGUUUUGAUGAAAUUUUUGUUUAUCUAUGGUUGAUGUUUUUAGACUAAGAACAAUAAUUUAUGAUUGGCGGGUGGAAGAAAGUUUAUUUAUAAUUUUGUUGUCGUAAAUUUUGACAAGUACAAAUAUGUAUGGUUUAAGAUGUAUAUUUAAUACAUUAAUAUAUUUAAAGUGGUGUAAAUAAAUUGUCAUAAAUAUCAAGUGUAUUUCUCAAUGAUAG